rnacentral:rRNA from 1 species
CUACAGGUUGCAGCAGUGGGGAAUAUUGCACAAUGGAGGAAACUCUGAUGCAGCCAUGCCGCGUGUGUGAAGAAGGCCCGAGGGUUGUAAAGCACUUUCAAUUGGGAGGAAGGUUAGUAAGUUAAUACCUUGCUAGCUUGACGUUACCUUUAGAAGAAGCACCGGCUAACUCUGUGCCAGCAGCCGCGGUAAUACAGAGGGUGCAAGCGUUAUUCGGAAUUACUGGGCGUAAAGCGCGCGUAGGCGGACUGUUAAGUCGGUUGUGAAAGCCCUGGGCUCAACCUAGGAACUGCAUCCGAUACUGGCAAUCUAGAGUUUAAGAGAGGGAAGUGGAAUUCCAGGUGUAGCAGUGAAAUGCGUAGAUAUCUGGAGGAACAUCAGUGGCGAAGGCGACUUCCUGGCUUAAAACUGACGCUGAGGUGCGAAAGCGUGGGUAGCGAACGGGAUUAGAUACCCGGGUAGUC